AUCUUGAGUAGGCCCAGUUAGUGUUAAUUUUAUCAAUGAUUAUUUAAUUUACAAUUUAAAGCAGUAUUCGAAACUAAAUGUAAACAGAAAACAUGGCUUCAAUGGAGAAAAGAUUGCAAAAGGAACUACAAGCUUUGCUUAAGGACCCUCCCCAUGGUGUGAAGGUGGAUUCUCAAAGUAUAUAUAGAAAUCUCUCAGAAUGGAUUGUUGACUUGGAUGGAGCCCCUGGUACAUUGUAUGAAGGAGAAAAGUUUCAGCUUGCUUUUAAAUUUGGGUCAAGAUAUCCAUUUGACUCUCCACAAGUAAUGUUCAUCGGUGGAAACAUACCACUACAUCCACAUGUGUACAGUAAUGGCCAUAUAUGUCUGUCCAUUCUAACAGAUGAUUGGUCCCCAGCCCUAUCUGUCCAGUCUGUCUGUUUAAGCAUAGUCAGUAUGUUAUCUAGCUGUAAAGAAAAGAAAAGACCCCCAGAUGACUCUUUUUAUGUUAAAACCUGCAGCAAAAAUCCUAAGAAAACAAGAUGGUGGUAUCAUGACUUAAUUCCUGCCCAACAAAAUCUCAAGAAUCCAGGAGCUCACAGGGUCUUCAUUCCUGGGUUCCUUGCAUAGGCCCUAAUGACUGACUUAUAUGAACAAGGGAAUCAUUUUACACAUGAAGGCAUUGUUAUUGAUUGAUUGAUGUUUUCCACCACACUCAACAGUUAUUGAAACAACAGGCUAGGCUAGCAGCAUUCAGACCAGAUGACACAGUUUGACAGCAUUUACAUAAAAUACAAAACAGCAAUACAUUGGACGUGUGAAAGAAGAACACAUGGAGACGAAUUCACAGUGUUUUAGUUUUCUAUAAGUGAAGGAUUUAUCUUGUGAAUAUCAUAAGAAUAUUCAUAUUAUUUAUUGUCCUUCCACUGCCAGUGCAUUUGUUAUCAAUAGUUUUGAGUAUCUGGAAUAAGAGGGUUUUUUUUUUCUCUCCCUCAGUGCUUGCCUCAUGGUUUCAUUUUUAACUGUAAAGAUUGUUGAUAUAUGUAUGUAUGUACUGUACAUAUUUUUCUUUAGUAAAAACCAACUGUAAUUUUGCCUCUUGUCAAUGAUGAACAUCAAAUUAUUGUUUUAAUAAUUUGAUGAAUACAUGCAAUUGUUUUUUGUCAUUUUUAGUAUUGAUAAUUAUGGAGUGCCAAUUUAAUGAAUUAACAAUAAACUCAAAUAACCGAGGAUAUCAUUAAUAAAUUGAAGAUAUCAUUAAUUCAUAAUUGCAUGCAAUAAAUCAAUUACUGCAUGCUCUCAUCAAUACGCAAUUUCCGGGUUGUCCUAUAGUUAUUUCCCUUUGUUGAACUCUUACGCAUGUUGAGACGCAAACUAUCACUCGUCUAGAAGAGGAAAUAAAUAAUAAUUUCAUAUUUAAUUGAAUGGUCUCAUUCAAACACAUUUUUCUUGAUAUGGUCAGUUUAAUAUAUACUAACAGCUGAUACAUGUAUAAACAAAAUUUACGCUUUCAUCAUUAUCUACAUAACCAGCCAAUGAUAUAUAUUUUAUGUAUACAUUUUGUACCUACCCAAGCGUUCAACAGAAAACUGAAUAUACCUCCAUCACAGAAGAGCUGAUAUCUCGGAAAUUGCAUAUUGAAUUGAUGCAUUCAUCGGUUUAAUUAUUGCGUCCAUCAAUCGAAUUGUUGCUCACAAAAAUCAGUUUAAAGCUUGAUAAUAAAUGAUUUGAUGUUCUCUAUACUUCAAUUGAAUAUAGAGCAAUAAAUUAAUUAUUAAUUGAAUUGAUGCAUGCAUUAAUUUAAUUAUUGCUUCAUUUGAUUGAAUUGACAAUAGCACGCAUCAAUUUAAGCAGACCAACAAUUAAAUUUAUGCACACAAUAAUUCAGAAUUUAAGGUAUGAUUAAUUAUUUGAAUAGAUCUUUAGCGGAAUGGUUGAGCAUAUUGAAUGAAUUGAUGAUGUUUUCAAAUAAUAAUAUAUCUUCAAUUAUUUGAGUUUGUUCAUUUGGUGCACCAUAAAUAAUAAAUUGCAUAUAUUACAAUUACAUGUAUGAGUUUUCAAAAUGAGAACUAUUUCUUUAGGUGCAGGUACAUAUUUAAAAUAUAAAAGUAUCCAAAAAAUUUUUUUGAAACCUAGCUCUGGAAGAAAGUGACAUGUACAUAUUGGCCAGACAUGCAAGCUUUAAGACUGAAUACACAGUCAUGCUGGUUUGGAGCAUUCUAGAAUCAAUUCCUUUCGUGGGGGACAAUUUCAUUGUAAACAGAUUUUUUUCAAUUUUCAACGGACAUUUUGCAAAUAUUUCUAAUGAUAUGAGAUUGAUAUCAUGUAAAAGGUUUUUGUCUGUAGUUUUAAUGAUUGAAAAAAAGUACAAUACAUAUUGAUAUUGUAGAUUAGGUUUUAUCUGCUUUGCAUAUAAGCAAGGGAUAUUUUGGGAGGUGUUUAUGACUGCAUUUUAGAACUGCGCAUCAUUUAACAGAAAGAGAUUAGUUUUUACAUAUACGUUUGUAGUGCACAUUUUUUUAAAUAAUUUUGCUUUGUUUUGAAUUUAUUGUAUAAAUGCAUGCCGAGAUUUUGUUUUAUAAUUAUACCCUAGUAAACAAGGAGUUCUGGGAUACAGAGAUCUUUUGUGUUUCAUUUACUUGUUGUAUGGACCAGGUAUUUUUUUUAAAUUUUAAACGAAGUAAACAAUUCUCUUUCUGUUUAUGACAGUCCAUACCUUGUAACCAAAUAAGUGGAUUACAUACGACCCAACAGUGUAUAUACACAUUAUGACCUUGACCCUUAUCAAAUCUAAAGUUCAAAGAUACAGGUGGAUAACAAAACAAUUUAAAUUAAUAUCUUUGGCAAAUAUUUUGAAUUGUACAGAAUAAGUUGUUAAUUAUAGAUACAUUGAAUAAAGGUCAGUUAAUAUGGGUAUAUAUGUCCGAGAUUGUGAAAUUAAACCACUUUGUCUUCUCUUUUUUUUUUUUUUUAAACUACAACACAAAUAUUUAAUUUCCACAGAACAAUACACACUGUUUUUUUUAUUGUACUUGUGUUUAAAUUGCUUUGAAACAUUUCAAGUUUACAAAUGUUGCCAUAAUCAGACUUGGUGUCAAACCUUAAGAUAACAAUGAUGGUUCAGUUCUUGCCAUGUUUUAUUGCACUGUAAUGUAGAACCACAUGAAAAUUCAAAAUGUAACAUUUUUAUUUGAAUGAAAUUUCUUUAAUUAUCUUUGGUUACAAACAUAGUAGGAGACCUAAAUAUUUGGGUUUUUUUUUUAACUUGAUGCUUUAAUUUUCAAUACAUAUUGAAUAUUCUUUGAUCAAAGACAACUUCCCUGAGUAUACUUAUGCAUUAUGAAAGUUUGAUUUUAGUAGUGUAUGUCGUGGCAUAGAGCAAAUGGAAUUGCAAUUUUUAACAAUGGUUCUUUCUAUCACAAAGAUCAUGUCAUAUAGUGUGUUAAAUAAAGAGAAAUUCAAUAUUGACAAAACUGGAUUAUAAACACUGUAAUUAAACUUGACACCAAUUAUAGAGCAUGCUGCAGAUCUGUGUAUUGGAUAGAAAUGACUUUGUGGUUACUGAUUAUAAUCAUUCGAAUUUUUUUGUGGAUAUCAUUUUAAAGAGAUUGAUAUAUGAUAUGUGAACUAUCUUAGCUUACUAAAAUUGGCUAUUAUAGUAUAAUAUUUAGUGCCACUGUUUUAUACACAUUAUUGUUAGUAUUUAACUUCAUUCUUUCACUUUGUCAACAGCAAAUGUGAAAAUGUUUUGCAAAAAGACUUUGUCUUCUUCUUGUUUAUAAAAAAUUACUGGGAGUUGUUAAAAUUUUACAUUAUGAAGAUUAAAUAAAAUUGUCUUUCAUGAUAA